AAAGGAUAACUACAUGAACGAGUAGCAGCUGCCCCAGGCCAGUCAUAUGUCGAAAAUCUCAAUCCAAUCGCGUAUUGAUUGGUUGUCCACGGAUCGUUGCAAGAAAGAAGUGCCCAUUUGAGUUCUGGGGUUGCUGGUAGAUCUGCUGCUGCAUUUGCAGUUUUCACUGGAACAUGGGGAAUAAUCAAUCAUACUACUACUAAAUAAUAUUUAGUAAAUAUGAUGGUUGGUUCAGCAGCUUUCCACCCCAAAUUCUUCCCAUUCCCAGUAUCCCAGGUGGGCCCCACAGCAGCCCACCUCAUCACCAACGCUGCCGCUCUCCGCCUGGGUGACUUCCUUCGCCACCGCAUCGACCUGCACUUUCUUCUUCCCUCCGCACCCUUCUCCCCCAACUUCAAGAGCAUAUUUGACCUUGGCUAUUUGCCUUUCUUGAGGGAUCUUUGGAAUGAAAGGGCCAACCUAUAUUCUGGUUCCAAAAUUCUCCAAUGGACACAUGACUCUAUAUCUUCCACAUGUAUGGCAUUAUAUUUCUUUAAUAGUGGUGAAGAUGAAAACGACUCAAGCCAUGUUAGGAAGACAUACUCAAAACCUUCUAGAAGAUCCUCAUUCAACGGAAGGAAAUGGACCAACAUCCUCUUAGCUGCUAAUGUUUUAAUCCAUGUAGCACAAAUUGCAACUCAAGGAAAGCUAUUAUUUUGGGGUGCCAAGAUUAAUAGUCUAAUUGAUAAAGGGCAACUUUGGAGGCUAGCCACAUCGUCCUUUUUGCAUGCCAAUAUCGGGCAUCUCAUGGUUAAUUGCUAUUCUUUAAACUCUAUUGGUCCUGCAGUCGAGAACAUUAGUGGUCCUAGAAGAUACCUUGCUGUUUAUAUCACAUCUGCAAUUGCAAGUUCUGCAAUGAGCUAUUGGCUAUCUAAAGCACCUGCAGUGGGCGCAUCUGGAGCAAUAUUUGGAUUAGUUGGAUCUUUUGCUGUUUUCGUCUUGAGGCAUAAGGGCAUGAUUAAGGGCAGCGAGCAAGAUUUACGACAUAUAAUGAAUGUGGUUGUUCUAAAUAUGGUAUGCCUUUUAUUAUCAUCUAGAAUUUGAAUGCCUUCCUUUCACCAAGUCUAGCAAGCUUCCGAGUCAACCGAAUGUCAUCUCAAGAACUGUAAAACAAUGAUUACUCCUUGAACCUGUUGAUGUUCAACAAGCAGUAUCUGUGGUGUUCCUGGCUUUCUUCGUCCUCCAUAAAGCAAUUGGGGUUUUGUCUAAAGGCAUUGAUAACUGGGGACACCUUGGAGGCUUAAUAGGUGGUGUUGCAACCUCAUGGUUUCUUGGUCCUGCUUGGAAGCUGGAGUCCAUUUCUAAUGAUGGCCAUGAAGUUUUUGCUGACAACGCACCCAUUUUUACCGUCAUUAAGCAUACAAGAAAUAGCAAUAGCUGAAAUCAGUCAUUUGUAUUGAGGGUUGUUCCAUGAACGUUACAUCAACUUUGAUUUAGGUUUUUGUCUUGAAUUUGAAUCUUAGAGAUCAGGAUGGAAGGUUUUAGUACUGUAGGUAAGAUUAUGAAUUAAUUUGUAUGUACUGGGAGGUAGUAUGUUUGUGGAACCUUGGUGGCUGCUUUGAAAUAAAGUGUGUUAUUGGUUUGCUGUAAAUUGUCAAAUGUACAUGCUAAUGGCAGAUUA